rnacentral:rRNA from 1 species
AAGGGGAACAACGAAGCUGAAAAGAGCGGCAGGCUAGGUUCUAGCACGCCUGGUGUCGAGCUCGGCGGCCGUUAACGUAUCAGGCGCUCCUGGGGCUGCGAGCUUGGGUGGGAGAGGCCGGGCAGGGAGCAGGGGCGCAGGCUGCUGGACGAGGUGGCGCGGCUAGCUGGGGCAGAGUGGGUGCGACGGCGGCCACUAGGCCCUCCGUCAGCUCCCCUGUCGCGCGCUGGCCUCCCCUACGCCGUCGUCGCCCCGCAGCCGUCCCCGCCCCCGGCCGCCCUAGGGCCCGACGACUGGUCCCACCACCUGUUCCAGAAGGCGAAGCAGGCGGAGCGGCUCAAGCUCUAGGAGAAACAGGAGAAGAAGGAGUAGCGGAAGUAGGAGAAGUUCCUAGAGUACAGAGCUGGUCUGAUGUUGGUCUAGAAACAGUUCUUCGGACUAGUUCUACUGGCGACCGGAAUCUCCAUGAAAGAAACCAGUCAUUACACACGGCUUCUAAUGGUGGUAACUCCAGACCUGCUAACCGAGGCUGCCAUUAGAACAACUCUUGUUCGAAUAUACCAAGGAUCAGUGAGCCUUAGAAACUUUGGAUCUAUUCGAUACGUAGAAUAAAAUCAGUAGUAAACUACUACCCAGGAGGAAUUUCUAGGUUU